GGCUCAGGACGAACGCUGGCGGCGUGCUUCAUACAUGCAAGUCGAACGAGAAGCUGACUUCGGUCAGUGGAAAGUGGCGGACGGGUGAGUAAUAUGUAGAGAAUCUGCCCUUGAGUGGGGACAACAGAGGAAACUUCUGCUAAUACCCCAUAUGAGCUAACUUGAAAUAGUUAUCUUGAAAACUCCGGUGCUCAAGGAUGAGUCUGCAUCUGAUUAGCUAGUUGGCGGUGUAAUGGACCACCAAGGCGACGAUCAGUAGCUGGUUUGAGAGGAUGAUCAGCCACAAUGGGACUGAGACACGGCCCAUACUCCUACGGGAGGCAGCAGUAGGGAAUUUUGCGCAAUGGGCGAAAGCCUGAACCGCAGCAACGCCGCGUGAACGAUUAAGCCCUUCGGGGUGUAAAGUUCUGUCAGUAGGGACGAAUUUUGACGGUACCUACAGAGGAAGCACCGGCUAACUCCGUGCCAGCAGCUGC
rnacentral:rRNA from 1 species